rnacentral:rRNA from 1 species
GACGAACCGUCCAAACGUUAUUCGGAAUCACUGGGCUUACAGAGUUCGUAGGCGGUCCCAAAAGUUAGGUGAUGAAAUCCCAGUGGCUCAACCAUGGACGUGCAUCCGAAACUGCGGAGCUUGAGUACUGAAGAGGAGUCGCGGAAUUCCGGAUCGUAGAGGUGAAAUUCGUAGAUAUCGGGAGGAACACCAGUGGCGAAGGCGGCGAUCUGGGCAGAUACUGACGCUGAGGUGCGAAAGCGUGGGGAGCAAACAGGG